AGGACGAACGCUGGCGGCGUGCUUAACACAUGCAAGUCGAGCGGAAAGGCCCUUCGGGGUACUCGAGCGGCGAACGGGUGAGUAACACGUGAGUAAUCUGCCCCUAGCUCUGGGAUAGCUCCGGGAAACCGGGAUUAAUACCGGAUACGACUGCUACGGACAUCUGUGGUGGUGGAAAGAACUUCGGCUAGGGAUGAGCUCGCGGCCUAUCAGCUUGUUGGUGGGGUAACGGCCUACCAAGGCGACGACGGGUA
rnacentral:rRNA from 1 species